AUACCUUGGUCCUUUCUCGGGCCACCAAGCCCUCUGUUCACAAUGCCAUCUAUGGCUCGUGCCAAUAAUUUAUAGGUUGUAUAAAUGCCACACAUCGACACUGCGGUGAUGCAGAGGUCAUGAACCACGGAUUUUUCACAGCUAAUGAAAAACGAAUAGCUUCCACCAGGAUCGCAAGAAACUGCGGCGUGAAUGGCCUCUCCUUUGACUAACUGCGAUGCGGUCUCUACGACCGCUGAACAUGCAUCUGUAACUUCAGCCAUGACUUAAAAAA